rnacentral:rRNA from 1 species
UACGUAGGUGACCAGCGUUGUCCGGAUUUACUGGGCGUAAAGAGCGCGCAGGCGGUCGUUCAAGUCGAGUGUGAAAGCCCCCGGCUCAACUGGGGAGGGUCACUCGAUACUGAUCGACUUGAAGGCAGGAGAGGGAAGCGGAAUUCCCGGUGUAGUGGUGAAAUGCGUAGAUAUCGGGAGGAACAUCAGUGGCGAAGGCGGCCUUCUGGUCCAGUACUGACACUCAAGUGCGAAAGCGUGGGGAGCAAACAGG